rnacentral:tRNA from 1 species
GGUUCUAUAGUAAAAGAAUGACAUUAGAUUGCAAAUCUAGGGGUGUGUGUAUAGCACUAGAACUU